CAUCUUCACGCUCAUUCCCCUUGCUCACCCACUCCCCCAAAUCCCUAGCCCGCGGCGGCGAUGCACCUCCCCCUCACAUGCAUCGGCGAUGCACCUCCCCCUCACCUGCAUUUGCGACUCAGCCACGUCGCUGCCCUUCUUCCCCCACGUCGCCUCCUCGCAUUCUCGUCCGCGUCGCCUCUUCCUCUCACCCGCAUCCUCUGCAUCACAGUCGAGCCAAAGUUAGUUGUUUUAGUGAGGUCGAGUUGGAGCCUGACGAGCACAGGCACGGCGGCCUUGUUCUGCUCAACGACAGCGGCGACGGACGCUGGCACUCCUCGUCGCCAUCGACCUACAAGGAGGAGCGUCGUGUUGGACACUGCCAUCCCAAACGCUGCUGGUGCUUCAUCACUUCUACGAGUCCCUCGUCACCUGCUCCUAGGUCGCCCCCGAAGUCGAGCUCCCCACGCUCGACCUGCAAGAUGUACUGUGGACAAGAACUGCUCUCUGCCGCGUGAGUAGAUUGGAAAGGCAAGGCGCAAGGAGCGAUUGGAAAGGAUGCUGCUGCUCCUGGAUGAUGCAACUCCUGAUACCACUACCUCUUGUCGAUUCGGGCAUGAGCACAUUCUUGGAGUGGAUCUGCAUUUCAAAUAGUUUACAAGUGGGAGUACAUGGAUUACUACAGAUUAAAUCGAGGGGAAGAUGGUCCCUGCUCCGUGAUGAUGCCGCCGUUACCUACGACUUCCUCAACCACCACCACCACGACUUCAUCGAACAUGGUGGUAUCUUUCCGAUCAAGAUUUUGGAGUACAGAGAAAGAAGACUAUGGUGGUACUACUCCUAGCAGGACAUACAUUAGUACAUGAAAAGAAGAACAGUUUAAGAACAUAGCAGAAACUGAAUGAGGCAAUGCAUCAUGAACUGAACAAGAUCUGAUUCUCUCCGUCUUGAUCCAAAUAGAGAAAAGAGGGAAGAUGAACCUGAGGGAGGAAUUCGAUCGCAUGGUGAUAUACAGGAUCGCCGGCGUCUGCUAAACGGGAUCAUGGCGCCGUCUCCUGCAGCGAUCCUGAAGCAGAUCGUAUGAUGGACGGGUGGCGGCUUUGAUGUACGAGGGCUGCGGCGAAGGUUAGGAUCGGCCGCGGCACAGGGAUGGAUCGGCCGCGACGGGGGCGAAGGUGUGGAUCGGGCGUGCGAAGGGCUGGUUGGCGGCGGAGAACGAUCUACUGUGGGCACGAGGGAUCGAUCGUAGGUUUUUUUUGGCACCGGUUUUUUUCGCAGGAGGGUUGCGAGUUAACGGAGGUGGGAGGAUGACGAAAAUAAAACGGAGGCGGGAGGAUGACGAAAAAACUAGCGAAAAUAAACCACGCAGACUAUUCACCAACUGCUUCAUUAGGAGUAGAGAUAUGUCGAGAUGCCAUGCCCAUCUAUUAUUAAUACAUAUUCCAUCUGACAUCAUACCAUAUGUUUCCAAUCAAAUGUUGUUCUUGUGCAUCAGACAUCGAAAAGGAAGAGGGUGAUUGCCGAACCUGAAGGAGUACCAGCAAAGUCCUUGAAAAACAUGGUGGUGCCGGAGAAAUCAGAAAGCACCCCACUUUUAUUGGUUGUACAACCAGUGACACAAAACGUAGGACCGACUCCAGCACACUAUACCCAUACUUCACUGUCCACACCACUAGCCUCACCAUACAGGACCUGCACUCCAGCAAAAGGUAUACCGAUUUAAUUUGCCAUAGCACUAGUUAUACCACAGAAAAAUCCCACUCCAGCAAAAAGUCCAGUAAGUCCAUCGGCCGAAGACCUAUCCCAACUACAGAGACGGCCAAUUCUUGCAGAUUGGAAACACAUUCCACUUAUUCCCAAUUUAAAAGACAAUGCUUUCAAUGUUGUUAGGGACUACGUGCAUAUAUUCCAAUCAUGGGAAGAUUAUUGUGAAGACAAACACCAUUUUCACAUCUUGUCCAACUUCCGGGCGAUGGUCAAUCUGGAUAGUCAUGACGAGCAAAGUUUGCUUGUGCUUUUCAAGGAAGCAUUGCAGUAGUAUCGGUGUUACCUGAGAAAUCACACUUUAAUGGCAAGUGUGUAAACGAAUUUCCGGUGAAGUCUCAUGUGCUGAAUUUAGAAGACAUUGAAUGGAAAAACCUUGUUUUGCACUGGUCUCGUUCCCAGGAUGAGUUAAUCUGCUCGAAGAAGAAUUACGGUUUGACAAGAACGACAGGAUAUCGCAAAUAUGCCGCCCGCUGCUUUGCUCUUAAUAAAGACAAUGUUUUUGAAGAAGAUUCUGUAGUAAACUUCUUGAGUUGCCCUCCCCCCCCAUCAGCAUGGACAAGGUCUUUAUAGAGCCUGUCUUCACCAAUAAUGUAAGUUUGUCCAUCUCAAGCCUUCAAACUUUGUUGUAUAUAUUUGGUUAGGCAUGACUGCAACAGCUGUUUAUUUUUGGUGUUUGCAUAAAAUUGUUUGUUUAAAGUUUAUUAUAUGUAGCUC